GGAAUUUUCCGCAAUGGGCGAAAGCCUGACGGAGCAACGCCGCGUGAGGGAUGAAGGCCUCUGGGCUGUAAACCUCUUUUAUCAAGGAAGAAGAUCUGACGGUACUUGAUGAAUAAGCCACGGCUAAUUCCGUGCCAGCAGCCGCGGUAAUACGGGAGUGGCAAGCGUUAUCCGGAAUUAUUGGGCGUAAAGCGUCCGCAGGCGGUCUUUUAAGUCUGCUGUUAAAGCGUGGAGCUUAACUCCAUUUCGGCAGUGGAAACUGGAAGACUAGAGUGUGGUAGGGGCAGAGGGAAUUCCCGGUGUAGCGGUGAAAUGCGUAGAUAUCGGGAAGAACACCAGUGGCGAAGGCGCUCUGCUGGGCCAUAACUGACGCUCAUGGACGAAAGCCAGGGGAGCGAAAGGGAUUAGAUACCCCAGUAGUC
rnacentral:rRNA from 1 species